UGGGGAAUUUUGCACAAUGGGGGAAACCCUGAUGCAGCGACGCCGCGUGAUUUAGAAGGCCUUCGGGUUGUAAAAAUCUUUUCUAUGGGAAGAAAAUGACAGUACCAUAGGAAUAAGGACCGGCUAAUUACGUGCCAGCUGCCGCGGUAAUACGUAAGGCCCGAGCGUUGUCCGGAAUCAUUGGGCGUAAAGGGUACGGAGGCGGGUAAGCAAGUUAGAAGUGAAAUCCUAUAGCUCAACUAUAGUAAGCUUUUAAAACUGCUCAUCUUGAGGUAUGGAAGGGAAAGUGGAAUUCCUAGUGUAGCGGUGAAAUGCGCAGAUAUUAGGAGGAAUACCGGGGGCGAAGGCGACUUUCUGGCCAUAACCUGACGCUGAGGUACGAAAGCGUGGGGAGCAAACAGG
rnacentral:rRNA from 1 species